UACGUAGGGCGCAAGCGUUAUCCGGAAUUAUUGGGCGUAAAGAGCUACGUAGGCGGUUUGUCGCGUCUGCCGUGAAAGUCCGGGGCUCAACUCCGGAUCUGCGGUGGGUACGGGCAGACUAGAGUGAUGUAGGGGAGACUGGAAUUCCUGGUGUAGCGGUGAAAUGCGCAGAUAUCAGGAGGAACACCGGUGGCGAAGGCGGUUCUCUGGGCAUUACCUGACGCUGAGGAGCGAAAGCAUGGGGAGCGAACAGG
rnacentral:rRNA from 1 species